rnacentral:rRNA from 1 species
CUCCUACGGGAGGCAGCAGUGGGGAAUCUUGCACAAUGGGCGAAAGCCUGAUGCAGCCAUGCCGCGUGAAUGAUGAAGGCCUUAGGGUUGUAAAAUUCUUUCGCUAGGGAUGAUAAUGACAGUACCUAGUAAAGAAGCCCCGGCUAACUUCGUGCCAGCAGCCGCGGUAAUACGAAGGGGGCUAGCGUUGUUCGGAAUUACUGGGCGUAAAGCGCACGUAGGCGGACUUUUAAGUCAGAUGUGAAAUCCCGGGGCUCAACCUCGGAACUGCAUUUGAAACUGGAAGUCUAGAGACCAGGAGAGGUUAGCGGAAUACCGAGUGUAGAGGUGAAAUUCGUAGAUAUUCGGUGGAACACCAGUGGCGAAGGCGGCUAACUGGACUGGUACUGACGCUGAGGUGCGAAAGUGUGGGGAGCAAACAGGAUUAGAUACCCUGGUAGUCCACACCGUAAACGAUGAGAGCUAGUUGUUGGCAGGCAUGCCUGUCGGUGACGCAGCUAACGCAUUAAGCUCUCCGCCUGG